rnacentral:rRNA from 1 species
AUGGAUUCGCAAGGCGGUGGUGCUUCUCGUCCUUGUCAAGGUUGGCAUACCUUGGACGACAAUCCUUUGGGACAAAUCGUAAGUCGCUCUGGCUUCCUCACAUCCGCAAGACUUAGCGGUACUUGCACCAAAUAUUUUAAGGGGGUGCAUAAAUAUGCGUGGGAGAAGGCCAUGCUAGUUGGCCUGCGAUGCGUCCUCGAGGACGAGGAUGUUUCCUUGGGGGUCUCUCCAGUGCGGUGUGGCCGUAGUUGCAAGUUGAAGCCCCUUGAGAUGCCGAUGUUGAGGGGCACUCAUAUUUUGUCCGAUGAGCAGGUUAGGCUUGGUGCCAGUGGAGAUUGGCUUGCAUAUGUAUGGGAAGGUAGCAACAUCAAUUUGUACAACAUUUACAACGGUGACACCGUUCCCAUAAAACCUUUGUCCAACAUUGGGAUCAGCCAUGCAAUGGGCCAUCGCAUGAAUUGGUAUGAUGGAACCACAGUGAGAUUGAAGAAGAUAGCAAUCCCGAAAUCCCUGAUAAGGUCAUCCGCCAACCAAAAUUACACUCUCAUCGCGGUGUUCGACAUUGCGAUUGCUUUCACGAACCCUGCACAUGGCGAUCAAAGGUGGACCAUGCUGUCAGCGGCCGAUUUGUUGCCGUAUGAGUACAAAGACGUUCUGCUCCUUUCUAACCGCAUCUUCGCGGUGGCAAACCAGGCGACUUGUUUAUGGGACACAUCCUACGGAAACUGA